CUCCUACCCUUCCUCUUCGUGGGCGCUGCGCUUGACGCCGUGACCAAUCACAGGUCACGUCGCGCCGCCGCAGCCAAUCGGAAAAGCCAGGAGCAUUAAGACGAGCAGUUGACGGCUCCUCCCUCUCUGUUCGAGGGUGGUUGGCGGGUUUAGUUGUUUAAGGCUUGCUUUUUCUUCUGUUUCAACCCCAUCUGGUUACAUCCGAUGCCAUCGGGGUUCUUGUGAGGCCGAGCUUGAGAAUGCGAAGGGAAAAGGCAAGAGCAAAACUGAGGCUAAUGCAGGGGCAUGCGGAUAGGUCUCCUUUGCGAACUCAGAACUGGAGGAAAUGGCUGGAGGAAGAGAUGGGAAGAAAAGAGAUAAACGUGGUGCCGUAGAAAUAUUGAUUAAAAAUUGGGCCCCCAAAUAAAUUAUUUACUGAGAGGCACAUCAUUUCCUUGCGUUUUAUUUGGUAGUUCCUUGAUGUGAAGAUAAUAUAGGAACUGUUGGUGUGGUUGGCCUGAAACAAAUGACCCCGGACGAGCUUAAAUGAGAGUGAAUAUGAGGAUACGUCGGCUUUUAAUUCAACGAACCUUUUUCUACAAGAUCCUUUGUCACUGGGGGAUUAAGAAGUCAGUAAGCAGGCAAGAGUGAUUACAACAUUUCCCAGCCAGAUUGCUGCUUUUUCCCCUUUUUGUUUACUUAGUCCAGAUUCCAGCCAAAAAGGAAUUAACAUUCUUGAAGAUGUUGGAAAAAGAUUCCUGGGCCUUGGAAGAUAAUUACUCCAAAUAUACAGGGGAGUGGGAGGAGGGCGAAGUGGAGAGACAUCAGUUUUCCAGACUCUGAUUUGGCAAGCCUCAGUUCCUUGAUGGCUGUUGGCUAAAGACUUCAGUUCUUCACCAUGUGAACAAAAGCUACCUGAGUAUCCCCACAACAUGACAACUGGCUUCCACCAGAGGGAAUGAUCCAAGAGAGAAAUGCCAAGACAACAUGUAGGUGGGCACAAAUAAGGGUCUGAAUACCAAGGGUGGGGGAUUGUUGGGAUCCUCUUGGAGGUAGACCACCAUACUUGACUCUGUUUUCUUUAACUGCUUCAAUUUAUUGAAUCAGGAGUUUUAUAUUUAACCCUCUGGUCAGAUCAUUAGAAGUAUGAGAGUCUAUGUAUCCAAAUAAGUGCUCUCUUCUAAGGUGCACAAUUUUUUGCCUGUGAAUAUAUAAAUUCCAUAAGUAAUGCUACACUCCUUUUGGAAAUUUUUUAAGGAGUGUAUAAGAAAGCUCAUUUUAUAGUUAGAAUACUCUACCUUGAUCAAAUAUAUUUUUCUUGGACCCAUUUCCCUUUUCCCAAUUCUUCCUAGGUGGAGGUGGUUAGAGAGGCUGAAGUAGACAUAGAUAUAAGUACCCCUGGUAUUUUGCUUGGGGUGCAGACUGACUUGGAAAGUUUGAAAUUUCUGUUUCCAGUUUUUUCAAGGAAUGUAGUCCAAUUACUUAAUGGCACUUACACAAAUAUUUGACAUAGGAUGGAAUGAAGGUGUAAAUAUGCAGCAGCUUUAAAGCAAUUUGUCCUUUUCCUCAAAAGCUUUAUCCAAUAUGGUAAGUAUACUUUUUUCUUUUUUUUUUUUUUUUAAGUAGACUCCACACCCGGCGUAGAGCCCAACACAGGGCUUGAACUCAUGACCCUGAGAUCAAGACCUGAGCUAAGAUCAAGAGUCAGAGAGGCACCCUAUACUUUUCUUUCUGUUGCUCCCCUCCCCCCAUGGUCUUCUGUCCCUCUUAAUGAGCAAAAUACAGACUUUGCCACGCAAUCAGAAUGCCCAUAAUUGGCAGAAUUCUAAUUAGUGCCCAAGAUUUGUAACCUUUUGAGCCGCCUUCUCCCUUUAUCACUGCUUAAAAGUUCUUCAUUAGGAGUGACAACUCUCCGCCUUUUCCUUUAAAGCUUAUGUGCUUCUGAUGAUUCAAACCUUGUCAAAUAACUAAAAGCAUUAUGUAUAAAACAAGAUAUAACCGGUUUUGGAAUGUAUUUGUGUUAAGCUAUAAUUAUCCUUUCCAUGUCAAGCUUAAUGUUGAGAAUACGUUUCUAAGUUAUCAUGAGGUAAUCUAUGAGUAGAUAAAUAAUACAAUUGAAAUUAUCUUUGGUAUGAGUUUUUUCGAAUCAUAGUAAAAUUGGAGGUCUUAUCUGUUCAUGAGAAUUAAAAUUUAUAGAAAGGUGCAUUUAUUCUUUAAAAAGGGCUAAACCAUGAAAAUCUUACAGUUAUGGUUUAAGUUGAAAAUAGGAAAAAAAUAUAAAUGUCCAAUGAUUAAACUUUUUCCACUGCUGUUCACAUCAUGAUUUGUUGUGAUUAAUGUAUGUGGAUGAGGACAUAAUGGAAAAAGAAAAUCAUAGUGGGAGAAAAAAGUAUAGAUAAGAUACAGUUUCUGUUAUGUUUGAUGUACUUAUUAAUAUUUUCCCUUUUAGGAAUGAAAUUGAAGGGUGUUUUUGUUAGCAUCAUUUUGUCAGAUUUAUCUGAUAAAAAAUGUGAGAACAAGAUACAGGUAGUCCUUACUUCGCAUCGUUCCAAUAUACGUGAAGAUCAGUGUUCGCGGUUUAAAUAACACGAUUCCCCUACAACAUGGUUGAAAUUUCAGUUACCACAAGUGACCAAAUUGUUGCAUAAGCUUUGAUGGUAGCUCUUUAUUCCACAAAUGAUUAUGCAUAUAAAAGAUGGUCACUAACCACUUAUAUCACUUCUUUCAAAAGUCUGUUGGUGAUUGAUCACUGAACAUGUAGUUCACAGAGUAAAGCAUGUAGUUGUGUUGCUUGCUUGUUUCCCAGUGAUAAACUCCCCGACAUUUUACAAAAAUGGAUCAUCAAAAGAGGGAAUUGGUCAACAAAGAUGACAGGGCAGCAAAGAAACAAAAAGUGGUAACACUGGAAGUGAAAUCGGACGUCAUUAGAUUUGAAAGUGGUGACAGCAUAGUGAAGAUGAGACCUAGGCUGACAUCAACCUGUAGUACGAACCAUCUUUUAAAAGUUCAGUAAAACAACUUUUAGGUAAAGUUACUUCAACAUUUUUUUAGUUUAAAUUGUGCUAGGAACAGAAAGCUGUGUAUGGUUGAAAUGGAGUGUUUACUUCUACUUUGAACUGAGGACUGUAAUAAAAAACAAAUCCCAAUCAGUUUGGCUAGCAUUCAAGCCAAAGGGUUGAGGCUAGUUGCUACACUGAAGGAAAAUGGUAACUACAAGGAGACUGAAAAAGAACAUUUUACUGCUAAUAAAGGCUGGUUUCAUCAUUUCCACAGUCUGUAUGAAUUGAUUAAUGUUCUGCUGUCUGGUGAAGCUGCAAGCUCAGAUAAGGAUGCUACUGUGAAAUUCGCACCAUUCCAAGAAUCACAGGCAGUCCUUGCUUUGCACAGUACAAGACUCCUGUGUAAAAAGUUCUUAGGAUUUGGCUGUAAUGUAAAUGGAGUUCUAGAAGAUGCAGAUGAGCGUGGGAAUGUUGACACUGCUGCCAUUCUAGAUACUCAUCCAAAACAAUUUAGUGAAGGUGAACAUAGUUAAAAGGAGAAAAAGCAGUUGCGUGUUGUAAAGGAUGAAUACGUUUCAGAAGAAGUGAUGCAGGUGAAAAACCACAUUAAAGGAACUCUCAGAUAUUUCAUGACAUUGAAUGCGUAAAGAAUAAAAUUUUGGAAGCAGAUCUAAACUCAGGAGUAUGACAAUUUACCAAGGUGUAGAAAAGGUGCUUGCCCCAUAUUGUAAAUUACGAGAAAGCAGCCACUAUUCAAACUACUCUUGAGACUUUUCUGUAAAUAAAAUGCUGUAAUUUUCA